rnacentral:rRNA from 1 species
CCCUUAGAUGUUCUGGGCCGCACGCGCGCUACACUGAACAGAUCAGCGUGUAUUCCCUUCCUGAGAAGGACGGGUAAACCGCUGAGCCCUGUUCAUGGUAGGGAUCGGGGCUUGCAAUUAUUCCCCGUGAACCAGGAAUUCCCAGUAGGCGCAAGUCAUAAGCUUGCGUCGAUUACGUCCCUGCCCUUUGUACACACCGCCCGUCGCUACUACCGAUUGAACGUUUUAGUGAGGUCCUCGGACUGUUUGCCUGGCGGUUUACCCUGCUUGGCUGGCGGGAAGACGACCAAACUUGAGCGUUUAGAGGAAGUAAAAGUCGUANCA